rnacentral:tRNA from 1 species
UGAAUCGGCCAGGAAUCGAACCUGGGCCGCCCGCGUGGCAGGCGAGAAUUCUACCACUGAAUCACCGAUGG